CUGUAUUUGAAGGAAAAAAAUCUGAAACCUAAUAAGCUUUCAGUUCCUUAACUAACUCUCUUUUUGAACAGAUUUUCAAGUCUGCUACCCUCCUUAGAAACAGGAGAGAAAAAAAAAAGAUUGAUCAGUUCUAGCAAUCCUGGAUCUCACCUACUCUCCUCACUGCAUGUCUGGCAGUACCCAUAAGCCCCUCUUCUUAUCCCAGGCAGAAAUGACAGUCUUUCUUGGAGAUAAGAAGGGCAAGACCCUAUAUCGAGUGAACAUGGAACCACAUAAAAUGAACUUGAGUGGCUAUGGGGAUUUUCCUCUCUCGUAUACUUUUCCUCUGGACUUACAACACAGAAGUCAAAAUAAUUUUCUAACCAGGGUAGAUGUGUGACAGAGGCUGGCACAUAAGAAAAGUGCCAGACUGAAGAGUAUGCUGAUCAUCUUGAUGGAGGAGGGGCCCUAAGGGAUUGGAAUCUUGAGGAAGAGAGACUCUGGCUGGUAGAGAAGUUGGUCUCUCAGUCUUGAAAAGCUGAAGAGAGAAGAUGGAAAAAGGCUUUCUCCUGAGGGUUACCUACCUUUCCUGCUGGUGACUGGAAUUCUUUCCCCCCAACAUUUCCCAGUUGAAAAGACUAUUGAAGAGGAAGUGUGAAAAAGACAUUUUAAAUCUCUUUCCAACUUUACUUCCUGAGUCUGAACUGUGGCCAAGGGGCCAAACCCAGGGUGAGUCAACCUGACUUUCUUUCAGGUGGCUCAGGCUACCAAGGCCUGAGUUCCCCCCAAAUUCAAGGAGGGAGGGAAAAGGGUUUUAGAUAGAGACAGGGACCCCCAUUUCCCAUUUUCCUGUCCCAUUAUUUCUCUGCUAGUUAUUCUUUGUUAACCACUGGUGGAAUUGACAUUAAAAGUUAUCUGUUCCCCAAGCUGUGAAUCAAGUGUGAGUGAACAGAUCAAGGGGAAACCCUCUGGUCUCUAGUACUGGAUAGGGCGCAAGAGGGUCAAGAGCACAUCAGGGAGAGCAGCCUUAGCUAAGGAGGGAAGGCAGAACGGGGGAAAUCUUUCAAUCGCCUCUCCUCUCUCUGAGCCAACCCCUAACAUUAGCUAUCUCACAUGAAAUCCACUUUUGGAGAGUGGGUCUUCACUUGUUCUCUCUAUACUGAAAGUCUUACCCCUCUAGUACAAAUAAAUAACCCCUCAAAUACA
rnacentral:lncRNA from 1 species